rnacentral:lncRNA from 1 species
GCCACAUGUAAACUUCCUCUCCUUCCUCCCAGUCUCUAGCCACCCAUUGAGGGCUGGCACAUCAUGCCAAGGUGGGUUUCUCUGGAUCGUUCUCCAUCCGCUUCCAGAUCUCUAAUACUCUUAUCUUUCCGCCUAUCUAUGCAAGUGUUGUGGUUCCUUUCUCAUCCUUUUCUUAAAUAAACCUCUAAUUGAGGAGAGCAUCUUCUCACAACUUGUUACUACACUUUCUGGAUGGCCUGAUCUAAUAUUUUUUUUGGAUUUCUGUCUUCGAAGUACUUGACAAAUUUAUUGUAUAGAUAAAUAUGUUGUAGAAAAUGGCAUAGCCGAAUUGCUUGAUAUGUUUAUGCAAUUAAGCUGCUAGGAUAACUUCUGUAUAGUACUUCCUGUAAGAAAAGCACAAUCAUUCUAUCAACUAUACUAAUGAAAAAUGCAUAUAAUGUACCAUGAAAAUGGGAACAGAAUGUUCAAUUACUUUUGUUAAAGUACCGAUCUUCUGUGGUUCCAGCAUACUACAGCAGAUUGAUGAUUAAAGAGUAUUAGUGUUGAUAUAGUCCUCUUGGUUUAAGAUGAAUUAUUUUGUUUCUUUAAUCUAGGAAGCUGCAAAUCCUUUUUGACUUCUGUGAUGUGGUUACCACUACAACACACAAGUAUUGUAAGUACUUCCAAGCCAUUCCGGUAAUUGUGUGAUCCAUGCCUUUCACAAGUUGCAUUCACCAACGGACAUGCCUCAUUCCAGUAAUAUGCGGCAGAAAUAAUCUGUUAUUCAAAUGUUUACUGAACUGCUCAUGCUUACACUAAACAUUUUAUAUUUAAAAAAAUGUCAUUUGUUUUGAUUUUUCAUGACUUAGUAGGGUUCAAUUUUCCAUUUGCCACCAAUAUUCUCAUGAGUUGUAUGGCUGAUACUUCAAUCAAGACCAAUUUCCCUUUCUACUUUUUUGUUGAAUGGAUAGUCUAGCUAUUUGAAGGUAUCAGUACAUAAAUUAAUUUCUAAAAUAAUUCCAAUUAGUAUUUUCUGGCAAGCAUGCACAUUAAAGUUUCACUGUCUGCAAUACAUUAUUUUUGUUGUUAUACCGCUUGGACAACCUGUAUGACUACCCAAAUUAUUCUUUGUAUACUAACUCAUAAGAUUAUCUAGCCACCCUACCAAAAUGGUUGUCUUCAUCAAAAUCUGAUUUUCCUUGUUCCUUUCUAUAUCUCAGAAUUAGUAUUGUUUUUAUUUUUGUCGAUCACCUGCCUAUUUUUAUGGAGAGGUUUGUUAUUGACCUAGGUCCAAAUGUUUCACUAUCUGUUUAUUUUCCUUGGUGCUGGGAUACGAUGAUGAGUAUGAUGAUGCCAUUGGUCCACGUGAUGAUCUUGGUGACACUCAGCUAAAUUCAUCUGUUAGCGGGAGAAAACUCGAUGAUGGUGUUCAUGAGAGCGUAGUGAAGUGAAUGUUGCCUUUGAGAGACACAUCAAAGCAAGUGGAAAUAUUAGUCCAAUUCGAUCCUAGAUGUCACACAUUGCAUGUAUGAAUCAUGGUGGAUUCUAAGAUAUGUUAUUUUGCUAUUUCACUAUAACAUAUAUGUACAUGCUAUUUAAGAUAGCCGAAAGAGGAAAUGAGAAACCUAUCGUAUUUGUUUCCAUUGCGUGUUGAUGUGUUGUUUUCAUUUUUGAAUGUCUGAUGGUUUCAGAGAGAAAUCACCCUUAAUUUUUCAUCUUAUGAUAUGCUAUCUUAGGUGCAAGUUAUUAACUAUGUUAACAUCUGUUUUAAUUUUAUAACUGAAAAUGUGGUUGAUGUGUUUGUCAAUUGACAUUCGUGAUUAUUCUUACUUUGCAC